AUCGCACUUUGUUUGGCCGAAGAAUGGGAGCUCAAAACCGCUCAUUUAGGUCUUUCUGCUUUCAAGUACGUGCCACUGGUUAUGCAAAAGGGCUUUUCAACAUCUAAAAGAGCUGAGCCUGAGCUCUAGAGGAAUGGUCGCCGGAGUCAAGCCUUCUCAACCUAAACAGCCACCUGAAUCUGCCAAGAAUUGCGAGGCUAAAUGGGUUUCAGUCAGGGGAGCAGAAGUAAAGGAAGUUGGGAUUGACGAGAAAAGCAGGGUAAAGCAAGCUGAGAAGGCUGAGAAAAUCAUGCAUGUCGUCUGCUGGGGACCUCAUAUGAUCUAACUAGGACUCCAAUACUUCUGGUAAAUUACUAGCUUGUAUUAAAAUUCAUGGCUUGGCAAUGUUUUAGGAGAGCUGAUGUACUGUAUCCUAUGGUUAUACCCUUUGCAGGGAAAUGCAGAUAUAAAUGUUUACUUGGUCUUUAACAAUUUUUUUUAAAUCCAUUUCUCAAAGCAUCAUAUGUAUUUGCAAGAGCAAAACCGAAUUGUGCAUUGCUUUUGUUAUGCAGAAGUUUG
rnacentral:misc_RNA from 1 species